rnacentral:lncRNA from 1 species
CAGGGAGGGGCCCCGGCACUGCCUUUUCAUUUGGAGAAGGCAGUAUGAGGCUGCACAGUCAGGGGGGAUUCAGGGUUUGCAUGAAACCCUGUCCAGAGAGAGCUCUCUGUGCACCAGUGGGGCUCCGAGCUUCUGUGGGACAGUCCCGGGGCUCAGAAAGAGGAGGGAUGGGCUGCCCAGGUUGUCUGCCCAGGACUCUACCUGCAGUGCUCCUUCCAGCCCAUCUCCAGGGCAGACUGAGCUCUGAGGCCAGCAGAAGCCCCCACUGCGUGGGCUGUGUUGAAUUUACUGUUUCCUUGAUCAGAGGGUCAAGCUUGAGCCUCCAGCCAGCCCGCCUGCGUGUGGUGGUGGGGCUGGAAGGAGGAGUGAGGUUCUUUAAACCGGAGGAUGUGGCGUGGGUGGCCUGGGGAGACUGCCUGCUUCCUCCGAUCUCAGUUUCCUCUUCCCUAAAAUGGGGUGGUAGGUGAGACUCCCCGCUGAAGUCCCCCAGCCUGUUCUGAAACACUCCACCCAAAGCUGGGGGAGGCCACAGCCAGGAAGGAAAUUUUGUUCCGAGCCUUCGGGAGCCUUCGGCGGCGGCGGGGGCCUGUCUGCCCCAGCUCGCCCCCGGGCUGGAUUCCGGGCUGGAUUCCAGUUGCAGCCCCUCUGGGUCUUCUCACCUCCAGCCCUGCCCUUUCCGAAGCAUCUCAACACUGUCGCCUGAGGAAUCUGCUGAAACUCCCGGUUGCCCUUGGGAUAAAGUCUCCACCUCUAGCCUCCAGUCACACACUGAAUGCCUAUUAGAGGAUGGAGCAGAAGGCCUGUUUUACAAAGGGAUCAAAGAAGGGUCCCCAGAUCUCAGAAACAGAAACGGAAACCAAUACAAGGCAGAAGAUAAGAGAGCUGAGCUAUUGUCCUUUAUUCUGGUUUAAAAAUGCGACAACAUGGCCUCCACUACAUGCACCCACAAAGAACAGGCAAACAAGAAGUCAAAGGAACAAAUUACCCUGCUGGAAACCCGUCUGCCUGGGCCCUCCGUCUCCAGGAUCGACUCGCUGAUCUCGCCCCUCCAGCACCAGGGAGCCUUGAGCACACAUCUUCCAGGACGGCGCUUCUUCCAGGAGCCGCCAGUGGAGCUGACCACAGCCCUUGGAAGCCUGGACAGAGGCUUACGAAACAGCAAGAGAGACCAACUGAGGUCAGAGUAGGGCCAUUGCGGGGUGCCCAAUGGCC